GUACCUGUGGCCGAGCGGCUGAAGGCAACGAUCUGCAAAAUCGUCGGGCAUAUGCCCCGCGCGAGUUCGAAUCUCGCCAGGUACUCCA
rnacentral:tRNA from 1 species